GACGAACGCUGGCGGCGUGCUUAACACAUGCAAGUCGAACGAAGUGGCGAACGGGUGAGUAACGCGUAAUCAACCUGCCCUUCAGAGGGGUACAACAGUUGGCAACGACUGCUAAUCCCGCAUACUGACGGAGGAGCUUGCGUCUGAUUAGCUAGUUGGAGUGUUAACGGCCCACCAAGGCGAUGAUCAGUAGACGGUCUGAGAGGAGGAACGGCCACAUUGGGACUGAGAAACGGCCCAGACGACUACGGGAGGCAGCAGGGGGGAAUCUUCCGCAAUGGACGAAAGGCGGACGGAGCAACGCCGCGGGAGUGAUGACGGCCUUCGGGGUGUAAAGCUCUGUUAAUCGGGACGCGGUACCGGAAUAGAAAGCCACGGCUAACUACGUGCCAGCAGCCGCGGUAAUAC
rnacentral:rRNA from 1 species